CUUUGACCUGAAUGAAAAAUUUGAAAGUUUUAUGAGGGACUUCAAACUGAUAAAACCCUGCACAUUUUUACUUCUGUUUUUAAGGAUUACUCAAGAAUUUGAUACAAGUAUUUUCCAGCACCUGGAUUUUUUCACUUCAUUAUGUUUACUAUUUUCUUGAAAAAAAUAAAUACUUGACAAGUCUAGUCUUGACACUUCCCUUUACACAGGUCCUUGAAUUUUCACACAACAUGCAGCUAGCUGCUGGCAGCUUUAAGUCCCGAUUUUAAAUACAGGGAAAGAACACUAUUAGAUGGCUUCUGGGAAAAUUGUAUUGUAUUACAUUAAAGCUUCCCAUGUAGCCAACAAAAUAGGAAGCUUUAGUUCAAAGGGUUAAAAGUCAAGAACUAUUAUUUCAAGUUCAUUAAACAGUACAUGUCCAACUACAAAAUUAACCUUGAUCCUCAGCAUUAAUUAAUCACACAAGAGCCAUUUUCUACUUCUCAGCCUUCACUCCUUAAAUUUUAGUCCUUUGAAUUAGUAAUAUUCUAGCUUCUCAGAUGCUGAAUGAAGGACAUCUGAAGUGUUCCUCUAAGGUAAUUAACUCAUAAGUCCAAGUGUCUUGCUGAAGAAGAAUAUGAAGAACAAAGUAUGCUGAAGGAGCUUUAAAGCAUCCCAAAAGAAAAAAAAAAAAAAAAAAAAAAAAAAAAAAAAAAAAAAAA